AAUCGUACUCGGGCCCGGUUCAUGGCAACCGUGCCUAGUGUGAGUACACCCUUAAUGUCGUAAAGAAAUUAGCCAUUACUUUCCUUGACAGGAAAGGGGUCCAGACAAUCUUGAUCAUUGUUUUUCCUCAGCUAAUCAUUAACUGUGUUCAGAUCGCAAAUGGGAGGAAGUAGGCUUUUAUAAUUCCUUUGGCAGAAGUAGCCGAUUCUGCAGUUAUUGGCGUGGCUAUUCACCAAGGCCUUACACUCGCCUCGCUCAACACAAUGAUCGUGCCGCUCAAGACUGGGCUCUCCUCGAGCACUGGAUCGCAGCAGCAGCAGCCAUUCAACCAGCCUGGGCCGCCCGCACCCCAGUUCUCACCGCAGCAAGCCUAUCUCACUUCCCAACGCGGCUCAGCCUUUCAAUGUGGCUUUUCCUGCCGAGGAGCAAUUUUGAGGCCGCUUCCACUAGCGGUGCAGACCGCGUGUCGUAAAUCGAUACAUUUUCAGGCAAAGACGUUACAAGCAGGUUCGUGGCUAAAGUUUGUUAAAUGACGUCAUGACGUAGUUCUGUUGGAUGACGAUGCCACUUUUAACCACAAAGUCAAGGCAUUAUUUCCAGAGUCUUCAUCCACACUGAAAUGUCCAAAGACAUUACAUUUGCCUUACCGUGCACGCUUAAACCUCACUGACAUGAUACAGACAUUAGUUUCAUGCAAUUAUUCUGGCAGAACCAAUUUACUUAGGGACCUAUUUCACCAUUCACUGGCGUGAUCACUCAAAAUUUAUCUAAAAUGCAACUGCGCUCGUGUUUUGAGGCAGGACAGCAAGUGUGAGUAAAAUUUCUGUUGCCUUUUUAGGACUGUAAUAUGAAAAGCAGGCAAGUAAAUAUCUUUAGAAACCACUUGGAAGUGAAUAGCACAUCUGCAAUUAACGUUACUGCUAUAAUCAUGUCUUUUGCUACAAUGUUUUACAAGAUUAAAAAUGCUUCAUCGUUUUCAAAAGCCUCUGUUUCCACAGUCCAUACUACAACGUGAAAACAGCGUUCCAAAUUCCAGGAGCCUUUUCUGUAUCUCCUCACUGUCGCUGCAUUGUCUGCUCCUGCAGGAGCCUUUUCUGUAUCCCCUCACUGCCGCAGCAGUGUCUGCUCAAUUCAUUCAAAAAAAUAAUAAUAAUUCCAUGGGUCUCAUACUCUUCUGGCAAAGUCGACAUCACCUCCACUUCAAAGUUAUGCCAUGCAUCCUAGGUUGCGGCGAUAGGAUAACAUAUCGACGAUAGUCAAGACGAUAUUAGGCUCAUUCUCCUAUCAACGUUUUCUACUAUCAUUAUAAGGCGGCCUACUAUUAUUCGGCUAUCAAACUGCUCUGUUAUCCCAUCUCAGCACUGCAUUUCACGCUUGCCCGUGCUCUCAAAGGAUUAUUUGAGCCUGUAGGCGGCGAAAAAAUCUCCAUCCACAAAUAGACAUACAUCGUUUGCAGAUAUAAGGUAUUUCAUUGCACUUUAACAGGUAAUACAAAACGUGCCAUAUUUUAAACGAGAUCUCACUAAUGGAGUUUAAUGCCACAGUUACGUUAGAAUGCAUCUUGUUUCCGUGGCGGCGCGUCGACCUCAUCAUGAGGCAUGUGGUCCAGAACGCGUAUGACCAAGGCAUCAAUUCAACCGAACUCACUCCAAAUAUAUGAACUUAUCUGUUUUGAAUACCUUAUAUUUAAGGAGUUCGUUUACUUCUAUAUUAGGGUUAAAUCGUUUGACUUUAAAUGAAAUCUACUAUUGUUUUGCAACGUUGACUGAUUUUGCUGAACAAAGACUGAUAACUUCCGUGCGCAGAUGCAGCAAAUUUGUCACAGGACAAGCAAGGUGACAGUAGUGCCGACUACAUGAACUAGCUGUUUUAAAUAUAGUAUUUUAUAUUUAAUGCGAGUUUAUCAGUACAUCUGAAAGUAUAAUUUUAGAUUAUUGGUGAUUUCAUAGGCUCUUUUUCGUGCACCUGCAUGGUUUAAAAAGGCAAAUGGUAAGCUAUGACAAGAAUAAAGAAUCGUUCUCUUACUCCACGCAUGCACGAUUACAUUGUUGAUAUGUAACAUCGAUCUCAUGUACUGACAAUAUGAUGACAAUGACCAUAUCCCUGAUUCAUGGCACCUAUUCGGGGUACACUGGCACAGGAAAUUCUAUUUAUUUUUCGUGCACUUACUUUUCGAAUACAAUGACUGGACCAAGAUUUUCUGACCCGUUAUCGGAGGAAGCUCAUGGAUUUCCGCUGGAUUUGCUAAACAAUUAUUCAAGUAAUCCCCACAGCGUCUAGCCUUGUAGACAACCAAAUUGUUCUUAGUAUUGAACUCCCUGUCAGGUGCUGCAAGAGUGCUCCCGGUUGAGCCAACCUUUGCCUUCUCCGUUCAACUACCAGCAAAGCUUAUGGGGUGGUCACACUGCACUUUUCUCUCCAUUGACUUCCAUUCAUAUGCAUGCGAAUGCGUCAGACUGGAAACGCAAGCUUAUGCGAAAAAUUUCGCAUUUCGCUGCGUUCCAAAGUUCAAGUUUGGUGAACUCUGACCUGCGAAUUCGCAUCACGUGAAGAUGUGGGACCAGUAGAAGAUCAAUACGUCACUGCGUGACCUCUCUGUACAGAAAUUCAAAAAUGCACGAAGCGCUAUAACUUUAGCUGUAGAGCAGCAUCCUAUUUUAUAUAAUACAUAUUUAAAAGAUUAUAAAAAAUAAAAUAAAAAAAGAAGCUGCAUGGUUUGUAGUGUCAACAGGAAACAGGAACAGAUGAUACAUUUGAAUGAGGACGUUUUAUAAUUUUUUAUUGCUUAGCGUGUAUAUAUUUAAAUAGAGAGAGAGAGAUACAGAGAGUACAAUGUAAGAUGCUUUCGAUGCCGUUGCAAAAGACACAGUACAAGCACAUAUUAAUCCAUGUUGUGAUAAUUGAGGAGAGACCGUUUUAUCUUGCUCCCGCCCAUAUUCGCAGUGGCGUCCGAAAUAAUUUUGCACGUUUAAAGUCUAGUGUGGCCGUGCCUUUACUCGUAUGACAUUGCGAGUAUUAAACUCCUGUCAGAUGCUGCAAGAGCUUUCCCGCUUAAGUAAUCUUGGCCUUUCCAUCCGACCAUCAGUGAAGCUUACCCGAUUAAUUACCCGUUCAUUGCCAGGAGCUCGCGCUCCCUUCGGAUGUAGGUGAGAGCCACCCAGCUACCCUACUUUACUGUUCCGUCUUACGCCCGGAGAGGUUUACCCAUUCAAUGCAUGGAGUUGGGGCUCCCAUUGGAUGUAGGUGAGAGCCUCCCGGCUAGACAACCUUACCUUUUCCAUCUUUGGCCAGCGAGGCUUACUCGUUCAAUGCCAGGAGCUAAGAUCCUAUCGGACGUCGAUGAGAGCCUCCAACCUUUUCCGUCCAAGUAUCAAACUCGCAAACAAACCCAUCUUCCAUCCUAUGGUCAACGAGGCUCACCCGUCUCAUGCCGCGAGUAGCGAACUCCCAUAAGAUGUCGACGAGAGUCUCACGGCCACACAAACGUACCUUUUCCAUUCUAUGGCCUGAGAGACUUACCCAGUCGAUUCAGCGAACAGUCCCCGUUGGAUGCUGGGGAGAGCCUCCUGGCCACUUAAUUUUACCUCUUCCGUCUCACACCCAGAGAAGCUUACCCGUCCGAUGCGCGUGCUCCCUUCGGACGCCGGCAAGAGCCUCCUGGUUAGACAACAUUACCUUUUCUAUUUCUAUGGUCAGCGAGGCUUACCCGUUCGAUGUGUGUGCUCCCUUCGGAUGCCAGCGAGAGCCUCUUGGCCAGACAACCUUUACCUUUCCAUUCUACUGUCGGCGAGACUUAACCGUCCGACGCCACGAGUCUCGACCUCUCACCAAAUCCUGCCUAAGAAAUCCUCUCAGCUAUCCUCACAUCUUUUAACCCCGCCUGGCGAGGCUUCCCCAUUCGAUGUUCUGAGUAUGAUGCCCAAUCGGAUGCCGUGAGAGCCCUCCCAGUCAGGUUUUCCUUUUCACUCUCCCCGCCCAGCGAGUCUCAUCCAUCUGAUGCCGUGAGUCGGGCUCUCCCUUUGGAUGUUGACAGAGUCCUCCUUGUUGGCCAGCCCAAAGCUUUUUAUCUGCCAAACCGAGAGGACCCAGACGUCCUGGGUCUCAAAUCUCCAAUCGGAGGCUUUAUGGGCCCUCUCGUCAGCCUUAGGCCCUUCGCCCACUGAAUAGCAGGGGCUAUCAGCUGUUAGGGUCUGUACGCCGACACAUGACCUUCCCCGGACAGCAUGCCAAAUACGCAUAACAUACCUCAGCUAAUAAUAUGUAAGCGUGAACUUGUGAAAUUGUUUUAUUAACAAGAUUCGGGAGAAGCGCGAUACUUAGCCUAAUCAACACAGGUGGACUACAAUCAAGUAAUCAAUACCAUAGUAUAAAUAUUGCCGACUUACCUCUAUCCAUUGACAGUUUAUCAGCAUCCCUCCUCCACCCCAUCUCCUCACUUCGAAUUCACUUUAUAAAUAGACGGGGAAGGAGGGAUACUCUAGGUUCGGGCCAUUCCCGAGCUCGGAGCCCUUAAAAAGGAAACCAUACAUCAGCUAAUUAUAUGUAAGUGUGAACUCGUGAAAGAUACAUCAAAGCCAGCAGCACACAUCAGAAGGUCUAUCCGAGGUGAGGCUGCUCUCGGCGGAUACAAGAGCACUGAGCUCCCGCUGAUCCCCUGGAGCUCACUUCUCUGAGAUCGGCGAAACACAUUUUUAAAUAGGCACUGUCUUUAUAAAUAAACCACAGAUUUGAGUUUUAAACAACUACAUUCUCGCCUGAAAUACGUUUAAAAUUAAAUUUCAUGACGCAAUAACAGUAAUAUUUUGAAAAUGAUCCAAAUAAAUGGUGGUUAUAGGUGGUUAAAAUCUAUAUUGUAUAGAUUUUAAAAUAUUGCUUAUUACUUUUAAAGCCCUGAAUGGUUUAGCACCUCAGUAUUUGAAUGAGCUCCUUUUACAUUAUACUCCUCUACAUCCGCUACGUUCUCAAAACUCAAUUUGAUAAUACCUAGAAUAUCAAAAUCAACAGCGGGUGGCAGAUCCUUUUCCUAUUUGGCGCCUAAACUCUGGAAUAACCUACCUAACAUUGUUUGGGAGGCAGACACACUCUUGCAGUUUAAAUCUAGAUUAAAGACCCAUCUCUUUAACCUGGCAUACACAACAUACUAAUAGGCUUUUAAUAUCCAAAUCCGUUAAAGGAUUUUUAGGCUGCAUUAAUUAGGUAAACCGGAACCGGAAACACCUUAAUAUAACACCCUAUGUACUUGCUACAUCAUUAGAAGAAUGGCAUCUAUGCUAAUAUUUGUCUGUUUCUCUCUUGUUCCGAGGUCACCGUGGCCACCAGAUCCAGUCUAUGUCCAGAUCAGAGGGUCACUGCAGUCACCCGGAUCCAGUACGUAUCCAGACCAGAUGGUGGAUCAGCACCUAGAAAGGACCUCUACUGUCCUGAAAGACAGCGGAGACCAGGAAAACUAGAGCCCCAUUUUUUAAAUCAACAAUCUUGUUGGAGAUGGUCUUGAACAAGAAAGCAGUCCAAUUUAUCAACCGGGUGCGAGACAAGCUAACUGGUUUGCAAAACUCAUUCACUCUCUGACCAGAGAGAACCAACACAAAUUAGUAAAUCAAAUUAUAAUGGAUUUAUGUGAAUUUACUUCUUCUAGGACGAGACUUUUCCCAUGAUGACUUUGUACGUAACAACUCAAGUGGAGUUGCUUAUCAAACAAGCAACUUCGCAUGAAAACCUGUGCCAGUGUUACAUUGGAUGCCUUGGAGCCUGAUCAUGCUGCGCAAAAAGCCCAAAUCGGGCUUUCAAAAAAAGAAAGACAGGAAGGAAAAAGAAAGGAGGCAGAAAGAGGGGAAGCAGCUGAUGACUGCUUUCUUUCCAAAAGGGGGCCCACUGACAUUGAGAGUAUACGGGGCCCAGAAUUUGGUGCUACGCCCCGAUGGUGCCCUUUUUGGUAGAGCUUCUUUUAUGAUCCUGCUUUAUUUGUUAUUAAUUUUACUGUAAAAUUCACCUGGGAUGGUGACGUAAAUGAAGUGUUGAUUUGGGAAAAUGGGAGAAUAUGUGAAAAUUUAAGUUAAGCUUGUCGGUAACUUCAAUCUCUAAGCAACCUCUGAAUCUAAAGAAUGUCAUCUUGUGAUGUGUUAUAUACUGUAUGUGCAACAUUGUCACUGUUUUUUGUUACUUGAAAUUAUUUGUACCAGUUAAGAUUAUCUUGCUCUGUUGAUUGCCUGUGCUGUAGCUGUGCUCAAUAUUUGAAUUUUUUUUUAAAAUAUGCUUUUUAAUUUUCACUUCUAUUCUACACAGGUUUUAAAUAAUAAAAUCUUCCUUAAGAAGAAUAAGAAGCUUUCUUAAGAACUAUUAAAUGAAAAAACAAAUA